rnacentral:siRNA from 1 species
UAGACAAUCGUUCAGAGCCAUA